rnacentral:siRNA from 1 species
GCCACUGUGACGAACCAAGACAUG